AGUCACUGACAUUAGAUACCCCGGUAGUCCAGGGUGUAAACGCUGCAGACUUGGUGUUGGGGCCCGUUUGGGGGCAUUCAGUGCCGGAGAGAAGUUGUUAAGUCUGCUACUUGGGAGUACGUCUGCAAGGCUGAAACUUAAAGGAAUUGGCGGGGAGCACCACAACGGGUGGAGCCUGCGGUUUAAUUGGACUCAACGCCGGAAAUCUCACCGGAUAGGACAGACAAAUGAUAGUCGGGCUGAAGACUCUACUUGAUGAUCUG
rnacentral:rRNA from 1 species